rnacentral:misc_RNA from 1 species
GCGGAACAUUUCCUGAAUUGAUGUUGAGUUUCCAAUGAAAGUGGAUGCCAUUUUCAGCCCUGUUGGAGGAAUGUCACAGACAGUUGAUUUCACGUUGUUUGGAAUCCAUUCUACGAAGUACGAAGAAUUCUUGUUUUGAACAGCAAUCAUCUGCUCAUCAACUUCUUUGGUGCUCAUUUUGCCCCUGAACACGGCUGAGGCUGUCAAGUAACGGCCAUGGCGUGGAUCUGCU